AUUGAACGCUGGCGGCAGGCUUAACACAUGCAAGUCGAGCGAGCGGCGGACGGGUGAGUAAUGUCUGGGAACCGGCCUGAUGGAGGGGGAUAACUACUGGAAACGGUAGCUAAUACCGCAUACCAUCGGAUGUGCCCAGAUGGGAUUAGCUAGUAGGUGGGGUAAUGGCUAACCUAGGCGACGAUCCCUAGCUGGUCUGAGAGGAUGACCAGCCACACGGGAACUGAGACACGGGCCAGACGCCUACGGGAGGCAGCAGUGGGGAAUAUGGCACAAUGGGAGCAAGCCUGAUGCAGCCAUGCCGCGUGUAUGAAGAAGGCCUUCGGGUUGUAAAGUACUUUCAGCGAGGAGGCGUUACUCGCAGAAGAAGCACCGGCUAACUCCGUGCCAGCAGCCGCGGUAAUAC
rnacentral:rRNA from 1 species